rnacentral:rRNA from 1 species
GACGAACGCUGGCGGCGUGCUUAACACAUGCAAGUCGAACGGAAAGGCCCUGCUUUUGUGGGGUGCUCGAGUGGCGAACGGGUGAGUAACAAGUGAGUAACAUGCCCUUGACAUUGGGAUAACUUAAGGAAACUGGGGCAAAGACAGGAAAGGAGCUACUGCGUGAUGGAGGGGGAGGGAAAGGUUAGGCGGGUGUGGAUGGGCUGGCGGCUUAGCUGCUUGCUGGUGGGGCAGUGGCUUAACAAGGCAUUGACGCGUAGCCGGCCUGAGCGGGUGAACUGCCACAUUGGGACUGAGAUACGGCCCAUACUCCUACCGUACGCAGCCGUGGGGAAUAUUUCACAAUGGUCGGCAUCCUGAUCCAGCACCUCCGCGUCCUGGAUGACGGCCUUCGGGUUGUCAACCGCUUUCGCCUGUUACGACGCGUGAUUGACGUUAACGUGUAAAGAAGCACCGGCUAACUCCGUG